CAGAAGCGGCUGCCAGGCUCUUUCUCCAGUCUCUAUCUUCAGUUCGCCUGCCUCCACUCUAGCCUCCACCAUGUCCAUAAGGGUGACCCAGAAGUCCUACAAGGUGUCCACCUCCGGCCCCCAGGCCUUCAGCAGCCUCUCCUACACCAGCGGGCCUGCCUCCCGCAUCAGCUCCUCCAGCUUCUCCCGAAUGGGCAGCAGCGGCAGCUUCUGGGGCGGCAUGGGGCUGGGUGGCUAUGGAGGGGCUGGUGGUGUGGGGAGCAUCACGGCCGUCCAGGUGAACCAGAGCCUGCUGAACCCCCUGAAUCUGGAGGUGGACCCCAACAUCCAGGCCGUGCGUAUACAGGAGAAAGAGCAGAUCAAGAACCUCAACAACAAGUUCGCCUCCUUCAUCGACAAGGUUCGAUUUCUGGAGCAACAGAAUAAGAUGCUGGAGACCAAGUGGAGCCUCCUGCAACAGCAGAAGACAUCUCGGAGUAACAUGGACAACAUGUUCGAAAGCUACAUCAACAACCUCCGGCGGCAGCUGGACUCACUGGGUCAGGAGAAAAUGAAGCUGGAGGCGGAGCUUGGCAACAUGCAGGGGCUGGUGGAGGACUUCAAGAAUAAAUAUGAAGAUGAGAUCAACAAGCGUACAGAGAUGGAGAAUGAAUUUGUCCUCAUCGAGAAGGAUGUGGAUGAAGCUUACAUGAACAAGGUGGAGCUUGAGUCACGCCUGGAAGGACUGACUGAUGAGAUCAACUUCCUCAGGCAGCUGUAUGAAGAGGAGAUACGUGAGCUGCAGUCUCAGAUCUCGGACACAUCUGUGGUGCUGUCCAUGGACAACAGCCGCUCCCUGGACCUGGACGGGAUCAUCACCAAGGUCAAGGCCCAGUACGAGGAGAUCGCCAACCGCAGCCGUGCCGAGGCUGAGAGCAUGUACCAGAUCAAGUAUGAAGAGUUGCAGACUCUGGCUGGGAAGCAUGGGGAUGACCUCCGCCGCACGAAGACUGAGAUCUCUGAGAUAACCCGCAGCAUCAGCCGCCUGCAGGCGGAGAUUGAGGCCCUCAAAGGCCAGAGAGCAUCCCUGGAGGCUGCCAUCGCUGAUGCCAAGCAGCGUGGGGAGAUGGCCAUUAAGGAUGCCAAUGCCAAGCUGGCCCAGCUGGAGGCUGCCCUGCAGAAGGCCAAGCAGGACAUGGCCCGGCAGCUGCGCGAGUACCAGGAGCUCAUGAAUGUCAAGCUGGCGCUGGACAUCGAGAUCGCCACCUACCGCAAGCUGCUGGAGGGCGAGGAAAACAGGCUGGAGGCUGGGAUGCAGAACUUGAGCAUCCACACGAAGACCACCAGUGGCUAUUCAGGAAUGGUGAGCUCACCCUAUGGGGGCCUCACAAGCCCUGGCUUCGCGAGCAUCCAAAGCCCUGGCUUCACCCGCACCAAGUCUGCUGUGGUUGUGAAGAAGAUCGAGACCUGCGAUGGAAAGCUGGUGUCUGAGACCUCGCUCGGAUGUCCUGCCCAAGUGAGUGGGCCACAGCAGCCGCUCCAGCCCGCACCUCUCACGAGGCCACCCCAGAGCCCGUGGGGAGACAGCUGUACAAGGGAGCACUGA